UCCUCACCUCUACCCUGUCUUUGAUUUCCUAUUCAACGAAGUCGAAAUCCCAUUUCAUGAUAUCUCUAGGCCAAUCAAUCGCUGUCCCAAAUUGUUAGUUUCCAGUUUGUCUCAUCAAUUAAGGCCUGCUUUUGUUUUUCUAAAAGAUUAGGGCUUUGUGGGUCUCCAAAAGUUAAAUUAUCAAACUACUUUGUCGCUUGUUUAUAACGUGGAGAGAAGAUUGACGGGUAAGAUUGAAUUUAGGAAGGUUAAAAAUAUGGCUGUGAGGGCACCUGGGAUUUUGACUCUUAGUAUGGACAGGAAUUUGGGGCCUAAACUUGAUUACUCUGUGAGAGAAAUAAAAGGUGAUUUAGAGGAAUUUAAGAAGUUUCCGCAGUUCUUUUCGUUCAGUCUUGAGAGGAAGAUUAAGCCUAGGCAUAGAAUGUUGGUGGAGUAUGGACUGAAGAUGCCACUGUCGAGAAUGUUAAAGGUUAAUGAAGGGGAAUUCAACGCUAGGUUGUUUGAAAUGCUGCUGAGAAUGGUGGAGGGGAGGUAACUUGAUUGGACGUACUCAGUAAGUUGACCCAUUGCUUGCUUGCCUGUGUAUUUUGAUAAAGUAAAGUAAUGACCCCUUGAUUGCUUGCCUGUGUAUUUUGAUAAGGUAAUGUUUGGAUUAUGUGAUAUACUAUGAUAGUUUUACAUGUGGGCAUGUUUUGAGUUUGUGAUAGAUGAGAUUUAAUUUUUAAGUUGCUAUAGAUUUGAUUGAGAUAUCAUGCUGAUCGUGAAUUGUAAUUUGUGUCUUAGGACGUGAAAAACUGUCUCGUGUCUAUAAAGUUGGAUUCUGUGUAGCGUAGUUCAUAUGCAAUUAAACUGUUAAGGGAAUGAUUGAAAGAGAAACAUUUAAAAAGAAAAGAAAAGAAAUAGGGACACCACAUGUAUUGCAGGAAGUUAUGCUUAGCCGUGUACAUGGAACUUUGCUGGGAUGUGAAAAAUUGUCUCUGUUUCAAGUGUGAGUGUGGUUUAUGCAGUUUAAGGAGCCAAGACGUUGAUCGUUAAGCCUGUGGUUAACAUUGGUUUGCUAUGUCGCGACAUAGUCAAGCCUUAACAGAAACCAAACACUUUAUGAUGUCUUGCUGUGUAAACCUUUUUCUUUUACUUGUGCUCUGUCGCAGAGCUUCUAAGGACACUUGAUAUCAUAGAGAUAUUCCAUCUCAGUGAUGUGAAUCCUAAAUCUCUCAGAUUGGGAGACUCCAAGAACUACUUUUAUUUCUCAAACUCUGUUCUGGAAGGAAAUGUUUAAAAACUCAACGGAUUUUGGCAGUGCUGGGAGGAUUUCGAGCAGUGGCUUUAAGCCUAUAACAACCGUGAGGAAUAGUCAAGUCAAUAAGAAAGUCCUGCUAUUCUGUCCUAAUUCAAGAAAUUCAAGUGUACAAUUGUCCUGCUAUUCGUAUGUGGCCUGUUGGCAAUAAUUUAUACCAUAGCCAUCAGUGUUCCUAGGUAGUUGUAGGUUUUUGACAGUCUUCUGUCUAGCAUGUUAAUUUGUGGUUCUAUCCAUUUUUCCUUUUAGGAACGCUCUCACAAUACCUAAUAGCACUAUCUACUAUACAGUAGAGCUUUUAAAAAAUUUAAUAAAACACAAUUUAACAUGUUCCACUUUCUGGAGAACAGUAACAGUUCUGCAAACAGUAGAAUGCAAAAAACUAAGUUCUACAAGCGUAUUCUAGCAUUAUCAUUACAACUUUUUGGACAUUCAAGUCUUGCCAAAUCUCUCCUUGCAAUACUGGAAUGCCCUUUCCUAUUGCUAAAGAGAAAACCCCAACGAAUGACAGGGAGUUAAAUUUGAGUAUCUUGUGUGCUUUUAGUGAUGCCUUUUGAAUUUUUGUUCUUUCCAUUCAACUCAUUCCCAGUGCUCUUUUGAUGUCCCCUAAUCAUUUUCAUAACCGAAGCUACAACCCAAUCCUGGACACACCUGACUUCUAAUCUACUUCCCCCACAGACCAAUGUCGUUGAAUGCAUUCUGUUAUCCUCUCUAUCACCACAAAUUCCAUAACCACCAUCACCAAUCACAACCCAACUUCUACGUCUAGCUCAUGGAGAAAAGACCUAGUUCUGCUGCAACUGCAACUGUGUUGCUUAUCAAAAUGCGUGUGACUAUAUGCCUCGGGGAUGUGAGUUGUCUAGGAAUAGAAGUUAAUGAUUUGCAUUUCCUCUGUUUGGGGUUGCAUGCCCUUUCUAAAAAUUCCUUAAGUUGUAUGGUUUUUUUUGCAGUUGCUCCUUUUUUGCGCGAACUCCAUGAGGUUAAAAUGAGUUUGUCAUCAGGUUGAGCUGCUUAAGAAUUUUCUGUAUAGGGCCACUUGGGCUCCUCUCUAACAUCAAGAUUGAGUUUUAUAUCACAAAAUAUAGCAUACAGUUGUUUGUGCUUUCUUUCUCCUUCCCUUUUCCGAGGGAUGAAAUGGAUGUUGAAAUACAGUAUCAGUUGAAGCCCCCGAGUUUUUCUUUUCACCUUUUGUUUCCUUGACGUCUUCUGGCUCUAUACUAGGCUGCUACCAGCAUUUCUGGAAACUCUGGUUUCAGAUGAGUUCAGAUUUUUUUUAGUGGAAAAGACUUCUUAGGAGUUCUAAGAAUGCUGCUUUGGAUUAAACGAGUUUAUCAGCUUGACUGAUUGAUGAUUUCCCAUUAGUACCACAGACACAUGCAGAAGUAUAUAUUUUUUUCUGCUUGAUUUUUGAUUUGAAAGAGUUUCUGUAUCUGUGCAUACUCUCUUGAUUCACAAAGCAAAAGUAGAGAUACCGGAAUGUCACUUCAAGGAUAUUUAAGCAUCUCAGCAACGAGUACAAAUGAAGUGGUCUUCCGAACUUAUUCAAAGUGGUAUAAUCUGUUGAGAUCAACUUAACUGUAUUCUCAAAGAUUAUCCUUAGGAUUAACUACUAAAGUACCCCUCUCCUAUUGUUCAUUUCUGAUUUUGCCCAUUCCCAAUUUGAGAAACCAAAUUUUCCAAAAACAUUACCAAACAUUUUCAAUGUUACCUUUUCUUCUAAUUUCUAUAAAAAAUAGUUAACAAGUCAUCAUAUUACUAACCUGUCAUGUGCAUGUUUCAUAAACUCACGAGGAAUGGAUCUGCCAGAAAACCCAAAAUCACCCACUUGCAAUCUGGGCAUUUUUGGCAGUUUUUUCCCGUUAAUGAAACGCCUCCAUGGCAUGUUGAGUAUUUUGACAGUGCUAUCAACUAUUUUAAAAGGGACUGGAUGAAAGGGUGACAUUGAAACAUUUGGUAACAUCAAGGGCAAAAUUGAUUCCGUGAAUUGGUAAAUGGUAACAUUGUUAAUGAGCUAAUAGGUGAAGGGCAUUUUUGUAGUUAACCCUCAUCCAUAUUUAUCUCUUUUAUUGAUGGCAUUUUAUUGCGAUUGCUAAUGCACUAUAACUGUCUGAUUCAGGGAUUUGCUUACAUAUAUUACACCAGUUUAGUAUGUAUCAAUCCAACCACAUGAAUUCUUUUGUGACCAUGAACAAUAUGUUAUGGAUACAUCGUUGAAGUAUUUGGUGUGGAUUUGGGAUGUCUCAGGCCAAGCUCAGUUUCUCAAAGAAGACUUGAAGCACAAAUGGUGUGUUAUUCCUAAUUUUUGGGCCUCACAUUUGUUCUGAACAGUGGCUUUUUCCUGCUUUAUAAAUGUCUUAUUUUAGGGUGCUUGCUGACCACCUUCUAGUCCCCAUUUAUUGCAGUCUAAACACAGGUUAAGUGUUACUGAAGGUGGGAAGAUUGAUUUAAGGUUAUGAUCAUGGGGUAUAAUUGUGCUGUCAAAUCUAAUUCACUUAUUUUACUGAAGCGUACAUGAACUUUGCAAGUAUCCUUGCAUAACUAAUUUCCACUGUAGCCAUUUAAAACUCUCGGGUAUCCAACUGAGGUUGCUUUGUGGAAGACUUUGAAGGUAUUAAACCACGUUGAGUUAUAUAUUGAGUGUUCAAUUCUGGUCCCUAUUGCUCUUGGAUUGACAUAAUCCUGGGUUUUUAUGUUCUUUAUCUUUAUUCCUGACCAAUUUAGUCUCUUGAUUUAAUUUUUAAGCCUUUUUGUAAGCAAUCAUGAAUAGAAACAUGGGAAUUAUGGCGCUGAACAUUUGGUUCAGAAAUGUUUUGCUAUGUGACAUGAAAUUUUUGACAUUGAAUUUCAUUGACUAAGGAUCUUUAGUUUUGACCUGCUGCAUCCUUUCCAUUUAGUCGGGCAAGAAAAUAAUUAACAGUUUGUACAGAUUAACUGAUUGCUGUUAUAAUCAUCAUCUGCUGCUGUGAAAGUACUUUACAGGCUGUUCAAUGGAUGCAAGAAUGGCAUAUCUUGUACACUGUCCUUUAGUUGGUGGGGCCUCUGCAUUGCAGCAGUUUAAAGCCACAUGGUUUUCUGUAGAAACACUGUCCUCGUUAUUGUUUUAUUUCUAUCUGGGCAACCACUAUAUAUGAACUCUUUGUCGAUUGUCUUGUUUAAUUAUGUAACAUUGACCCACAUCUUGGCAUCCAUGAAAAUUUGUUUUUUUCGUAUCUCUUGGUAGCCUUAAAAACUUGUUCUCUUUAAUCUUCCUGUCUUCUCCGAGGAGAAUCUUGUGUUGUCAAGUCUUACUCGAUUAUGUACGGUCAGGUGCAAAGAUGAAAAUAAAGGAGAACGGUUUCCGUGCUUGGUUCAAAUUCUCUACAUCCACCCUAAAGUAAUUUGAUAGCUCAGGAAGGAGCUUGUGCAUGGUAGAAUGGAGACAUCGAUGGCACUACGAGUGACUGAUCAUCUUAUUUUUGGUGGUUUACAUGGAACCGUAGAAGGGUAAAGACCUGCACGGUGCACAGUGAUCUUAAAUUCCAUUGUAGGCAUAUUAACCGAGCUGAAAAAGGUUACCUGUAAGUUAUAUCCCAAGAUAGCCUAGUCUCUAGACUUGGAAAAGAUGAGCAUGUGGAGGAAAGCUUUGUGAAUUGACGACACCGAUUCAACCAAGCACUGCGAAGGAUGCUUAUUCAACUGUCUGUUUUUGGAUGCCACGUGCAGAAAGCUGCUGCUUGCAAUUCCAUCCGUAAGUUCUGAUGUAUAUCUCGGUGUUCUGACAUGAAUUCAUCAUAUGAUAACAAGGUAUUGGACAAAGGGCACGACAUUCCUUCAGGAUGUUUGAUUGCAUAAACUAGAUAAAUAAUUGAAUCUUGUUCCAGCACACAAGUUGUCUUCACCUUCGGUUUAUUCAAUUGCUUUCUUGUUCUCCCUCCGAGCUUCCAUGCUUAUGGCCAUGCCUUGGUGGACUAGGUGGCAACCAACUUGGGCCAAGUGCCAUGUUCAUGCAUCAAUGUGGAUAUAGCAGAUCCUGGUGGGGUCUAUUCUUCAGCUGAAAAUUGUCCGAACUCUUUUUCCUAUCGUAAGGACAUUUUAGCGAGAGCCUAAUUAAUGUCCCUGAAGUCAUAUGCUUAUCAUAACCGGUGCUGAAAAUUCAAGCUCUUGUAUAAUACAUAAUGUAAUCAUAAUUUGAGAUGUCAGUGAUAAAAUUUAAGAUACAAUA